CAGCUAGUUGGCGGGGUAAUGGCCCACCAAGGCGAAGAUCGGUAGCCGGCCUGAGAGGGCACACGGCCACACUGGCACUGAAACACGGGCCAGACUCCUACGGGAGGCAGCAGUGGGGAAUCUUGCACAAUGGAGGAAACUCUGAUGCAGCGACGCCGCGUGAGCGAUGAAGCCCUUCGGGGUGUAAAGCUCUUUCGACGGGAACGAUAAUGACGGUACCCGAAGAAGAAGCUGCGGCUAACUACGUGCCAGCAGCCGCGGUAAUACGUAGGCAGCAAGCGUUGUUCGGAAUUACUGGGCGUAAAGAGUGUGUAGGCGGUGCUCUAAGUUCGGUGUGAAAUCUCCCGGCUUAACUGGGAGGGUGCGCCGGAAACUGGAGUGCUCGAGCGUGGGAGAGGAAAGCGGAAUUCCUGGUGUAGCGGUGAAAUGCGUAGAUAUCAGGAGGAACACCUGCGGUGUAGACGGCUUUCUGGACCAUUGCUGACGCUGAGACACGAAAGCGUGGGUAGCAAACAGGAUUAGAUACCCUGGU
rnacentral:rRNA from 1 species